rnacentral:lncRNA from 1 species
GUUUUUUUAAACAUUGCAAUGGAGAUUUCACCUGAGAAAAGCUACAAGGCCUUUACUAUUGUGUAUGUGUGCACACUUGUGUUACGUGUUGUAUGUCUAUAUGUGUAUGUCCAUAUAUCAUGCAAUUAUAUGACAAUUUGCAGAUAUAUGAGGAGCGCUCAUGAAAAAUUUAAAAAAUGGAUCCAAAUGUCUUUGAUUCACGUGAUUCAAAUGGUUCAAUUUAAAUUGGGUAAACAGAUAAAAGUAAAGAUGUCUUUAAAAAUAAGAUUAUAAGUUUUUCUAGGUGUUAAAAAAGACCCUAAUAAAAUGUUGAUGUCUAUGAAAUAAUCUGCUUAAAUUCAGAAAUUUACAAGUAUUGUUUCAAAAUGUGAACAGAAAAGGAGGUUAACAGAUGGAAAAGAGAAAUUAAAAGGUUCUAGGUAUGGAUUUAAUAGAAGGAAAAUGCGUUUCUGGAUAAAAGUUUAUGUGAUUAAGUUAAUAAGAGGGUUUAAGUAAGUGAUAAAGAAGGUCUGUGUAAGUUGGUUAUAUGUGUAAGUUUUUGAGCAAGUAAUCUUAAAGAAAUUAAACAGCUGGUUAAACAAGUGCUGUUGUUUUAGAGAAUUGUGCUAUGUUAUUUCUUUAAAAGCUAAACUUGGUUAAUAUAAAAACAUCAAUGUAAUUGUGGUGCUAUUUGUUCAUAUCUUCCAGGUAUACAAAUCUAUAAGGUAGAAGCUUUAAAAGAGCCUUAUAUCAAGCUGGUGUUCUAAAGUUGUAUGGUAAUAUUAGGCUUAAAAGAAAAACAUGUUGGAGAUUUAUUUAUAUCAUUUGUGUACUAUAACUGGACUUAUUAUCAAUAAGAUAUGUAAAGUUCUAUGUUACUUUUUAUACUAAGAUACAAUUUAAAUAUAUUUUUAAGUUAAUGAGAGCCUAAUCUGUGUAAAGGUUUUAUUGUAAAACACAAAAAUACUUUGCUACUUUUCUACAAAAGGUUAAAAGCUUUCAGCUUUUCUUUAAUUCAUGUUUUAGGUGUGAUAUUAUAUUGUGUUAGCUAAUAUUCAUGUAAACUUGAGCAACAAUUUAUGUAGGCCUUGUAAAAUGAUGUUUAAAAAGCAAAGAUCAGCUUCAGAACUACAGUACUUAAGAUUUAUGAAGAGCCCCGCCUUACCUGAGAUAAGGCUCUGUGUCCCAUCUCACUGCAUGUGAAAGUGACUAUGAAAGAAGUAGACCAGAUUUCAGUACAUUUAAAGUUGUAUCCAAAUGUUGGUUUUUGUCACGAUUACUAGGAUCUCAAACAGGGGAUUAUAAUGUAUAACUCUGCCAAAAUUCAAGGUAGCUAUUACAUGAACUAAAUAUAUUUUUACUCUUGUUAAUUUAAAAAAAAAAAUAAGACAGAAUUUAGGACAAGGAUCAUUGAGACCAUUUGGGAGCUAGUUACCACAACUGUGCCCAAAACCAAGUGGGAAUUUCCCAUCAUUAUAUGCAGACCCAUUUCACCACCCCCAUACUGCACUGUGUUAAUGACAUCAAUAUCUUUAUGUUAUCUGGGCUCCAAAUCUUGGGGUCAUCUGUGAGUCUUUUCUCUCUCCAAAUUCCAAUUAUCUGCUAAAUACUCUGGACUCUUUCUCUUCCUUGAAUUUGCUUAAAUUUCUUUUGUCACAUAGACUUGGGUUCUCCAGCAGCUUUCUCAUGGCUCCAUUUUUCAUAUAGUACAGUUUUUUUAAAAAAAUAUUUUAUUUUUUAGUUAUAGUUGGACACAAUACCUUUAUUUAUUUAUUUUUUAAUGUGGUGCUGAGGAUCAAAC